rnacentral:rRNA from 1 species
GGGUUGUGAGGUUAAGCGACUAAGCGUACACGGUGGAUGCCCUGGCAGUCAGAGGCGAUGAAGGACGUGCUAAUCUGCGAUAAGCGCCGGUAAGGUGAUAUGAACCGUUAUAACCGGCGAUUUCCGAAUGGGGAAACCCAGUGUGACUCGUCACACUAUCAUUAACUGAAUCCAUAGGUUAAUGAGGCGAACCGGGGGAACUGAAACAUCUAAGUACCCCGAGGAAAAGAAAUCAACCGAGAUUCCCCCAGUAGCGGCGAGCGAACGGGGAGGAGCCCAGAGCCUGAAUCAGCAUAUGUGUUAGUGGAAGCGUCUGGAAAGGCGCGCGAUACAGGGUGACAGCCCCGUACACAAAAGCGCAUGUGCUGUGAGCUCGAUGAGUAGGGCGGGACACGUGGUAUCCUGUCUGAAUAUGGGGGGACCAUCCUCCAAGGCUAAAUACUCCUGACUGACCGAUAGUGAACCAGUACCGUGAGGGAAAGGCGAAAAGAACCCCGGCGAGGGGAGUGAAAAAGAACCUGAAACCGUGUACGUACAAGCAGUGGGAGCCCCACCACUAAGCCAGUGGUGAACUCCACAUACGCAUCCUUUGCUGAGGAUGCGGUUAACGGAGCGAAAGCGACGUUCAACCGCAAAAGAAGCAGAGGGGGCUUAGUGGUGGGGUGACUGCGUACCUUUUGUAUAAUGGGUCAGCGACUUAUAUUCUGUAGCAAGGUUAACCGAAUAGGGGAGCCGGAGGGAAACCGAGUCUUAAUUGGGCGUUAAGUUGCAGGGUAUAGACCCGAAACCCGGUGAUCUAGCCAUGGGCAGGUUGAAGGUUGGGUAACACUAACUGGAGGACCGAACCGACUAAUGUUGAAAAAUUAGCGGAUGACCUGUGGCUGGGGGUGAAAGGCCAAUCAAACCGGGAGAUAGCUGGUUCUCCCCGAAAGCUAUUUAGGUAGCGCCUCGUGAAUUCAUCUCCGGGGGUAGAGCACUGUUUCGGCUAGGGGGCCAUCCCGGCUUACCAACCCGAUGCAAACUGCGAAUACCGGAGAAUGUUAUCACGGGAGACACACGGCGGGUGCUAACGUCCGUCGUGAAGAGGGAAACAACCCAGACCGCCAGCUAAGGUCCCAAAGUCAUGGUUAAGUGGGAAACGAUGUGGGAAGGCCCAGACAGCCAGGAUGUUGGCUUAGAAGCAGCCAUCAUUUAAAGAAAGCGUAAUAGCUCACUGGUCGAGUCGGCCUGCGCGGAAGAUGUAACGGGGCUAAACCAUGCACCGAAGCUGCGGCAGCGACGCUGAUGCGUUGUUGGGUAGGGGAGCGUUCUGUAAGCCUGCGAAGGUGGCCUGUGAGGGUUGCUGGAGGUAUCAGAAGUGCGAAUGCUGACAUAAGUAACGAUAAAGCGGGUGAAAAGCCCGCUCGCCGGAAGACCAAGGGUUCCUGUCCAACGUUAAUCGGGGCAGGGUGAGUCGACCCCUAAGGCGAGGCCGAAAGGCGUAGUCGAUGGGAAACGGGUUAAUAUUCCCGUACUUGGUGUUACUGCGAAGGGGGGACGGAGAAGGCUAUGUUGGCCGGGCGACGGUUGUCCCGGUUUAAGCGUGUAGGUGUGUGUUCCAGGUAAAUCCGGUUCACUUUAACACUGAGGCGUGAUGACGAGGCACUACGGUGCUGAAGCAACAAAUGCCCUGCUUCCAGGAAAAGCCUCUAAGCAUCAGGUAACAUCAAAUCGUACCCCAAACCGACACAGGUGGUCAGGUAGAGAAUACCAAGGCGCUUGAGAGAACUCGGGUGAAGGAACUAGGCAAAAUGGUGCCGUAACUUCGGGAGAAGGCACGCUGACACGUAGGUGAAGUGAUUUACUCAUGGAGCUGAAGUCAGUCGAAGAUACCAGCUGGCUGCAACUGUUUAUUAAAAACACAGCACUGUGCAAACACGAAAGUGGACGUAUACGGUGUGACGCCUGCCCGGUGCCGGAAGGUUAAUUGAUGGGGUCAGCGCAAGCGAAGCUCCUGAUCGAAGCCCCGGUAAACGGCGGCCGUAACUAUAACGGUCCUAAGGUAGCGAAAUUCCUUGUCGGGUAAGUUCCGACCUGCACGAAUGGCGUAAUGAUGGCCAGGCUGUCUCCACCCGAGACUCAGUGAAAUUGAACUCGCUGUGAAGAUGCAGUGUACCCGCGGCAAGACGGAAAGACCCCGUGAACCUUUACUAUAGCUUGACACUGAACAUUGAGCCUUGAUGUGUAGGAUAGGUGGGAGGCUUUGAAGUGUGGACGCCAGUCUGCAUGGAGCCGGCCUUGAAAUACCACCCUUUAAUGUUUGAUGUUCUAACGUGGACCCGUGAUCCGGGUUGCGGACAGUGUCUGGUGGGUAGUUUGACUGGGGCGGUCUCCUCCUAAAGAGUAACGGAGGAGCACGAAGGUUGGCUAAUCCUGGUCGGACAUCAGGAGGUUAGUGCAAUGGCAUAAGCCAGCUUGACUGCGAGCGUGACGGCGCGAGCAGGUGCGAAAGCAGGUCAUAGUGAUCCGGUGGUUCUGAAUGGAAGGGCCAUCGCUCAACGGAUAAAAGGUACUCCGGGGAUAACAGGCUGAUACCGCCCAAGAGUUCAUAUCGACGGCGGUGUUUGGCACCUCGAUGUCGGCUCAUCACAUCCUGGGGCUGAAGUAGGUCCCAAGGGUAUGGCUGUUCGCCAUUUAAAGUGGUACGCGAGCUGGGUUUAGAACGUCGUGAGACAGUUCGGUCCCUAUCUGCCGUGGGCGCUGGAGAACUGAGGGGGGCUGCUCCUAGUACGAGAGGACCGGAGUGGACGCAUCACUGGUGUUCGGGUUGUCAUGCCAAUGGCACUGCCCGGUAGCUAAAUGCGGAAGAGAUAAGUGCUGAAAGCAUCUAAGCACGAAACUUGCCCCGAGAUGAGUUCUCCCUGAGACUUAGAGUCUCCUGAAGGAACGUUGAAGACGACGACGUUGAUAGGCCGGGUGUGUAAGCGCAGCGAUGCGUUGAGCUAACCGGUACUAAUGAACCGUGAGGCUUAACCUUACAACGCCGAAG